ensembl:snoRNA
GCCCUCCAGAUUUCUUACCCCUUAGCUCUCAAGCAUUGGUCUGAGUGGCUGUAAACAGAGGAAACGUAAAACAGAAGCCAACAUGGAUUUUUUAGUGAAGUACAAGUUUGAUUCAAAAAGGA